ACUCCUACGGGAGGCAGCAGUGGGGAAUUUUGCGCAAUGGGGGAAACCCUGACGCAGCAACGCCGCGUGAGUGAUGAAGGCUUUCGGGUCGUAAAGCUCUGUCAGUGGGGAAGAAAUGGGACUGGCUAAUAUCCAGUCUUCUUGACGGUACCCACAAAGGAAGCACCGGCUAACUCCGUGCCAGCAGCCGCGGUAAUACGGGGGGUGCAAGCGUUGUUCGGAUUUAUUGGGCGUAAAGCGCGUGUAGGCGGUUUUUUAAGUCUGAUGUGAAAGCCCUGGGCUCAACCCAGGAAGUGCAUUGGAAACUGGAAGACUUGAAUACGGGAGAGGGUAGUGGAAUUCCUAGUGUAGGAGUGAAAUCCGUAGAUAUUAGGAGGAACACCGGUGGCGAAGGCGGCUACCUGGACCGAUAUUGACGCUGAGACGCGAAAGCGUGGGGAGCAAACAGGAUUAGAUACCCUGGUAGUCCACGCCGUAAACGAUGAGAACUAGGUGUUGCGGGUA
rnacentral:rRNA from 1 species